AGUCUUGCUCUGUCACACAGGCUGGAGCAUAGUGGCAUGAUCUCAGCUCAUUGCAACCUCUGCCUCCUGGGUUCAAGCAAUCCUCCUACCUCAGCCUCCUGAGUAGCUUGGACCACAGGAGACAAAAUCCUGCUAGAGAGAAGGGGCCUGCUUCAAGCACAUAACUGGAUUCUACCUCAAGACAAUCUGCCACAUUUGAAGCUUGGAAUCUUCAAAGAGCAGAAUAGAAUGUGCUGUACUCUUUCAGGACUAAAGAGACAAAGACUUCUAGGGUCUCAAUCGACAGCCUUGGAGGAACAUGUCUAAGGAAUAGGGGUGAACCAGAGAAGACCUAGCUUACUGAAAUUACAAUGUGGUCCCAAUCCAGCUAAACCCCUGGUUGGAUUGAGGUAAUCAAUCUCUCACCCUAUCUACAGAAGAAAAGAGAAACUCAUGGUGGAGUAAGAUGCCAUCUGGAGCCUCUAUGAUUCAUUUAUAUAUAUCCUACAGAAUACAGUCAAAAUUGCUAGAUAUGCAAAAACACAGGAAAAGGUGAUUUAAAAAUCAAAACAGAAAAUAGAAGUAGACACAUCAUGUUGGAGUUAGCAGACAAUGAUUUGAAACUAACCAUGAUUGAUAUGUCAAAAAUGUAUGAAAGUUGAUAAAAAAGAAUAAGAUGUGUGUUAAAA